CGCGUGUGUGCGCGCGUUGCGCGCGUGUGCGCGCCUGUGUGCUACAGUAUGAGUCGAACUGAGGGGGCUGCUGCAGCCUACCCCCCCUCCCCCCAGUCCCCAGGAGAGCAGUGAAUCAGCCUGACAAUGAGGCACUCUGCUGGGAGGAGAUGUGCGGUUUCUGCAUCAAGAAGCUUGCAGUUUAGAGGAAGAAACGGACACUGACCCUAUAAUGCCACAAAUAGGUGCAUAUUUCCAAGUCAUUAUUAGGGUCAGUUAA
rnacentral:lncRNA from 1 species